AGCGAACGCUGGCGGCAGGCCUAACACAUGCAAGUCGAACGAACCUUUCGGGGUUAGUGGCGGACGGGUGAGUAACACGUGGGAACGUGCCCUUAGGUUCGGAAUAACUCAGGGAAACUUGUGCUAAUACCGAAUGUGCCCUUCGGGGGAAAGAUUUAUCGCCUUUAGAGCGGCCCGCGUCUGAUUAGCUAGUUGGUUGAGGUAAUGGCUCACCAAGGCGACGAUCAGUAGCUGGUCUGAGAGGAUGAUCAGCCACAUUGGGACUGAGACACGGCCCAAACUCCUACGGGAGGCAGCAGUGGGGAAUCUUGCACAAUGGGCGAAAGCCUGACGCAGCCAUGCCGCGUGAAUGAUGAAGGUCUUAGGGUUGUAAAGUUCUUUCACCGGGGACGAUAAUGACGGUACCCGGAGAAGAAGCCCCGGCUAACUUCGUG
rnacentral:rRNA from 1 species